rnacentral:rRNA from 1 species
UAGGGAAUCUUCCACAAUGGACGCAAGUCUGAUGGAGCAACGCCGCGUGAGUGAAGAAGGUUUUCGGAUCGUAAAGCUCUGUUGUUGGUGAAGAAGGAUAGAGGUAGUAACUGGCCUUUAUUUGACGGUAAUCAACCAGAAAGUCACGGCUAACUACGUGCCAGCAGCCGCAGUAAUACGUAGGUGGCAAGCGUUGUCCGGAUUUAUUGGGCGUAAAGCGAGCGCAGGCGGAAGAAUAAGUCUGAUGUGAAAGCCCUCGGCUUAACCGAGGAACUGGAGCGGAAACUGUUUUUCUUGAGUGCAGAAGAGGAGAGUGGAAUUCCAUGUGUAGCGGUGGAAUGCGUAGAUAUAUGGAAGGACACCAGUGGCGAAGGCGACUCUCUGGUCUGCAACUGACGCUGAGGCUCGAAAGCAUGGGUAGCGAACAGG